ACACUCGCUCUGCGUCGCGACACGCGGUAGGUAGUGCCCCGGCACCACGAUCGCGCCCGAACACAUUUUCUUUGAAAUUUCGUGCAAUUGCAAAGAAAAGAAGUGACAAACGGGAACUUGUGACUUAAGUGCGCUGUGUCCUGUCACGAUCAGUGAAAUCCAUGUUGCGAUUAAGGAUUGCGUGAAGGAUAUACACAACAGAUACACAUAUCGACCAGCUUUAAUAUUUGCAGCCGUAUACGGUUGAUAGAUAUUUAAGUAUGACAUAUCGUUUUUAGACGAAUUUAUUCAGAAACCAAUGAGCUUAUUAAUUGUAAGAGAAAACAAGAUGGCGCCGGGAAGUAGGGUAAACAAAAUGGCGGGUCGGAGUUUGAGGCUGGUGUGGUCGGCGGCGGUGGUCCUCGUGUGCCUGGCACGGAGCAGCGCCGCGCCCGCCUUCGGCGAGACCAACAGAGCGAUGAUGUACCUCGCGCAGUACGGCUACCUCAGUCCGUCCGUACGGAACCCCUCCAGUGGACACAUAGUGGACGAGGGCUCAUGGAGAAAGGCGAUAUCAGAGUUCCAGAGCUUCGCCGGACUUAAUACUACUGGCGAGUUAGAUGAAGAAACCGUAACGUUAAUGUCACUGCCAAGGUGCGGAGUUAAGGACAAAGUCGGCUUCGGAGAGAGCCGCGCUAAGAGAUACGCUUUACAAGGAUCAAGAUGGCGUGUUAAGAAUCUGACGUACAAGAUCUCGAAGUACCCGUCUCGUCUGAACCACGCCGAGGUGGACGCGGAGUUGGCUAAGGCGUUUUCAGUGUGGUCCGACUACACAGACCUCACAUUCACGCAGAAGAAGGCCGGACAGGUGCACAUUGAAAUCAGGUUUGAGAAGGGCGAGCACGGUGACGGCGACCCGUUCGACGGCCCCGGCGGCACCCUGGCGCAUGCCUACUUCCCUGUAUACGGUGGUGAUGCUCACUUUGACGAUGCCGAGAUGUGGUCCAUCAACACAAGGAGAGGAACAAAUCUUUUCCAGGUGGCCGCGCACGAGUUCGGUCACUCGUUAGGUCUGUCGCACAGCGACGUGCGGUCCGCGCUCAUGGCACCCUUCUACAGAGGCUUCGACCCCGCCUUCCAACUCGACCAGGACGACAUACAGGGAAUACAGGCUCUCUACGGUCACAAGACUCAGCUGGACAUCGGCGGCGCGGCUUCCAACCCGUCAGUACCGAGGGUGACCACCCAGGCGCCCUCCGCCGAGGACCCCGCGCUCUGCGCCGACCCCAGCAUCGACACCAUCUUCAACUCCGCCGACGGAUCCACGUUUGUGUUCAAAGGCGACCACUACUGGCGUCUAACGGAGACCGGUGUGGCGGCAGGCUACCCCCGCCUCAUCAGCCGCGCCUGGCCCGGCCUGCCCGGCAGCAUCGACGCCGCCUUCACCUACAAGAACGGCAAGACCUACUUCUUCAAGGGAUCCAAGUACUGGCGGUACAACGGACAAAAGAUGGACGGGGAUUAUCCAAAGGAGAUUAGCGAAGGUUUCACUGGUAUACCUGACAACAUCGACGCGGCUUUAGUAUGGUCAGGAAACGGAAAGAUUUACUUCUACAAGGGCUCUAAAUUCUGGAGGUUCGACCCGGCCCAGCGCCCUCCGGUCAAGUCCACGUACCCCAAGCCCUUGUCCAACUGGGAGGGCAUUCCCGAUGGUAUCGACGCGGCCCUUCAGUACACUAACGGCUACACUUACUUCUUCAAGGGCGGCAGCUACUGGCGGUUUAACGAUAGAACGUUUAGUGUGGACUCCGACAACCCCGCGUUCCCGCGGUCUAGCGCGUACUGGUGGCUGGGCUGCAGCAGCGCGCCGCGGGGCACCGUCGGAGGUAACGAGCGUCUCGCCUCCCCACACACCGACGCGGCCGACGACGACGUCGGCGAUAUCAUAUUCGACGGAGCGGUCAACAUACAGUCCGGUGGAGCUAGAGUGUAAUACUCUCCCAUUAUAUGGAGGCUCGAACGUCCUCCACCGCGUCUCCAUUCCCCCGCAUCACGAGCCUGAUGCGGCAGGCGGCAACGGCGCGGGCUGGCGGCGGCCGCUCGGUGCCCUCACCACCGCGACCCUGGUGCUGGCGGUGAGCUGGCUGACACGCGCCUAGCGCCCGCCCGCGCCCCCCGCGCCCUCGCGCCCCCCGCGCCCCCGCGCGCCCGUCUCCCACUGUGAUCGUGUUGUGCCUGCGCGCCCGAUAUAUUGUGUAUAGCGGGCGCUAGCUGUGAUGAGUGUGUUUUAUACGUGAACAAUAAUUUAAUUCGAAGUCAUAGUUUUUAUACUUAAUAUAAAUAGAUGAUGUAAGUCCGAGUGUGAUAUUGAUGUAAGCGAUGAUUUUUAUAUUAAAAGACUAUUUAAACUC